UACAGAGGUCUCAAGCGUUGUCCGGAAUCACUGGGCGUAAAGGGCGCGUAGGUGGCGACCCAAGUCGAUGGUGAAAGCUCGCCGCUCAACGGCGAGUCGGCCACCGAUACUGGGUUGCUGGAGCACUGUAGAGGCUCAUGGAAUUCCGGGUGUAGCGGUGGAAUGCGUAGAGAUCCGGAAGAACACCGGUGGCGAAGGCGGUGAGCUGGGCAGUUGCUGACACUGAGGCGCGACAGCGUGGGGAGCAAACAGGG
rnacentral:rRNA from 1 species